UACGUAGGGUGCAAGCGUUAUCCGGAAUUAUUGGGCGUAAAGAGCUCGUAGGCGGUCUGUCGCGUCUGCUGUGAAAACUCAGGGCUUAACCCUGAGCUUGCAGUGGGUACGGGCAGACUAGAGUGCGGUAGGGGAGACUGGAAUUCCAGGUGUAGCGGUGAAAUGCGUAGAUAUCGUUGGAACGCCAAAGGUGAAAACGAGACAGCUGGGAGUGUGCUGACGCUG
rnacentral:rRNA from 1 species